rnacentral:misc_RNA from 1 species
AGGGACUACAAGGGUUUCUAAUCCCGUUUGCUCCCCUAGCUUUCGUGCAUCAGCGUCAGAAAAGACCCAGUGAGCCGCUUUCGCCACGGGUGUUCCUUACGAUAUCAACGCAUUUCACCGCUCCACCGUAAGUUCCGCUCACCUCUAUCUCCCUCGAGCACGAUAGUUUUGGGCGCAGUUCCUCGGUUGAGCCGAGGUAUUUCACACCCAACUUUUCGCGCCGCCUACGCACCCUUUAAGCCCAGUAAUUCCGAAUAACGUUCGUGAGGCUCGUCUUACCGCGGCGGCUGGCAC